UCAGCAUCGUUUACUCAAUAUUGUUCCUCUACCCAGCUGCUGCUCCAAUAAACCAAAACAGCUCGCUGUUGUCUGAAAUGAAGAAUAAUUGGAAACACCAUGCCUGCUUCUUUCAGCACAAGUAACAAUUCCACCAUUUAGGGCUCCUCUAACACUCCUGAGCGCUGAACAACUCAAAUCUUGGCUUCCUGCUAGCCAGGAAUAUUCAAACUCACAAACUCCUGGCAGUGUUUGCCUCCGCGCUGCGCGAGGACGGAGCAGUCGGAGUAAAGCCACACGAGGGAUCUGAAAAAGCUGAUGGGCAGAGCUGCAGCAACUUACCUGAGCACUUCCCAGCCCAGGGCUUGCCUGACACGUGGGAAUGUUCUCCAGGAAAAAUCUUCAGUGGGUCUGCUGGAGAGUUCUUUGGGGUUCCCUUUGGUUCCUGGGGUUCAUGCAGAUCCCUUGUGUCUCCUGGGCUUGCAGUGUGAGAAUGGAGAGAACCAGCCAUGUUUCACCUGGCACAUUGAAGCUCUCAGCAGAUUGGAUGUGGGACCUUGGAGGACACACAGGGUAGCAGAGCUUUGGGAAACCUACUGUGCCACCAGCUGCUGUGUCUCUCUUUGGUUCUGUUCUCUCUUAGUUCAUACCAAAUGCUGUUGCAGGUGAUGUUCACGAGGCAGUGAACAGCCACCAGUGAUAAAUAUAAUUUUAUCUGUCAUAAUGAGGCUUGAACCAGUUGGCUCACAUUUGGUGCAAGACCAUUUGUGUCAGAAAUGGUCUCCUUUAAUUUUGAGAAGACUUGGUGAUGUUUUUCCUGCUGGUGCAGGAAACUUGUGUUAUACCUGACUCAUGCUGACGUUCCUCUUAACAACAGUUGCAUUUUCUGUAAUGUGUUGUGAAUAUGAACUCAUAAAAAAGUUCACUUGACUUCGUUCUUCAAUUGUGUGACCCAUGUUGAUUCUCAGAUGCUACAAAUACCUACUCUUGAGCUUGACUACAAUCAGCCUGGCUUGAUUUUAAAACUGACAAGGUGGAAAGGUUACAUGAGCCAAAAAGACCAAGCUUCUCAUCAUGUUUUACCAAUAAAUCAGAAAGAAACAUUGAGACAAGCCCCUUUUUCUCUCCAUUUCUCAGUCACAGUAAGGGGAACAACAUCAGCUCUGCUUUAUAAAGGGUCCUGAAUUUCUUGGUUGGGAGAGGUUGCAGAAGUACAGGCAGUCACUACUGCAGACUGAAGCUCGUAAAAGGUGUUCUGGGUUUGGAGAACAUUCACAUCUAGUCUCCCUUUUAAAUAAAGAGGCUCACAUGAUUAUCUCUGUAAUGAACUGGGACC
rnacentral:lncRNA from 1 species